UGGGGAAUAUUGGACAAUGGGGGGAACCCUGAUCCAGCCAUGCCGCGUGUGUGAAGAAGGCCUUAUGGUUGUAAAGCACUUUAAGCGAGGAGGAGGGUACUGGUAUUAAUACUACCAGGUACUGGACGUUACUCGCAGAAUAAGCACCGGCUAACUCUGUGCCAGCAGCCGCGGUAAUACAGAGGGUGCGAGCGUUAAUCGGAUUUACUGGGCGUAAAGCGUGCGUAGGCGGCUAAUUGAGUCGGAUGUGAAAUCCCCGAGCUUAACUUGGGAAUUGCAGUCGAUACUGGUUAGCUAGAGUGUGGGAGAGGAUGGUAGAAUUCCAGGUGUAGCGGUGAAAUGCGUAGAGAUCUGGAGGAAUACCGAUGGCGAAGGCAGCCAUCUGGCCUAAUACUGACGCUGAGGUACGAAAGCAUGGGGAGCAAACAGG
rnacentral:rRNA from 1 species